UAAAAAACGCUGGGUUGGUUUUUUAACCCAAAUGCUGGGUUGAAACUGCUUGGUAACAAAAUUGGGUUGAUUCAACCCAAUUUGGGUUGUAAAUCUGUCUUAAUCUAUACCCCAGCAGUGCUAGGUUGGGAACGCGGACGUGAAAGAGAGAGCACACGUCACGUCAACAUGCAGGGACAUCAACGUGAGAAACCGCCAUUUUCUUUGCGCUGUCUUUGAGGGGAAGCGAGUGAAAUUCUGUGUGAGACGCAAGUUAUUUCGUGUGUAUUUAACAAUUUUCAUAAGAAAUAACACACUUAUUUUACUUAGUAUAAUAUACACACGCUUUUUUUUCUGUUUCUCCACCUGACGGCCGACCUGUUGCUCCACCUCACGCCCAACCUGCUGCUCUGCUUCACCGCCGACCUGUGCUCGCCUUACGGCCGAACUGUUGCUCCGAGUCCGCCUGACGACCGACCUGUUUCUCCGGACCUGUUUCUCCGCCUGACGGCCGAGCUGUUGCUCCGCCUAACGCCCGACCUGUGCUCGCCUCACGCCCGACCUGCUGCUCCGCCUUACGCCCAACCUGUUGAUCGGUGGACGGGAAAGCGCGCAUGGCAUCGGAAGGAGCUUGAAAAGUAUAAGGUGAUGACAAUGGAUAAUUGCGUGAAAAUCAAACUAAAAGAAUGUAAUCUUGAGGAGUUAAUCCCCACAUUUGAAGCACAGGAGCGAACCUUUCCUCGUUUUUAGUUCAAUUUGAAUACAAUUCAGAGGGUAAGGAUUCAAUUAAAGGUUUCUCGAUGCAUAAUGAUGCAUUUAAUGCAUAAUGCUUGUCUUAUAGUUAUUUUAUUAACAAUGAAAAUGUUAUUUUUAUGUUUGUUAUUAGGAUGGCAUGGGGGCGCAGUGGGUAGUGCUGUCGCCUCACAGCAAGAUGGUCGCUGGUUUUAGCCUCGGAUGGGUUUCCCCCCCACAGUCCAGUGACAUGCGGUGUAGGUGAAUUGGGUAAGCUAAAUUGUCCAUAGUGCGUGUGUGAAUGAGAGUGUAUGGUUGUUGCCUGGUGAUGGGUUGCAGUUGAAAGGGCAUCUGCUGCGUAAAACAUAAAAAGAUGACGGUUUUGUGAAAGUUGUGAUUUGGUCACAGCUAUGGUUUCUCAAAAUUUUAGUGAUAAGAUGCUUUAUAUAGAUAGUGAAUGCAACAAACUCUAAAUGGCCUGUAAGCCAAUUAUUUUCAUUAAAGGAGAAGUCCACUUCCAACAAAAAGAUUCAAACAUAAUGUACUCACCACCUUGUCACCCAAGUUGUUCAUGUCAUUCUUUCUUCAGUCAGAAAGAUAUUUUUUAGGAAAAUAUUUCAGCAUUUUUCUCCAUCUGCAUGGACUGAGAUUGUGCCUCAUUUUUGAAGUUUUUAAAGAAAAUUUAAAUGCGGCUUCAAAUGAUGCAAAUACGGUUGCAAACAGUCCCAGCUGAGGAAGAAGGGUCUUAUCUAUUCUCAUUAAGAAAACACAAUUAAAUACUUAAUAAUUUCAAAUGCUAAUCUUGCCUUAUAUUACUUAUUAAAAAAAAGUUCCUUAGGCAAACCUGUUGUUGCAUUAAGUCAUCUUCACUCGGGCCAAAAAAUUUUAGCAUAGUGCCAUGAUCAGUGGUUAACUAAUGCCAACACUGGCUGAUAGCUUGGUGUGUUAUGGCCUUAAUUGCUUCUAAAGGUAUUUUAUGUGUUUUAAAGUUAACUCUAAAGAUAUUUAACUUUAACACUUUUGAGUUUUUAAUCAAUCUUAAUUCUAUUUAUUUUUUCAGAUUGGGACCAAUAUUGCUGAGUAUCUUCGUCCAUUGAAUUCAAGAAUCUAUUGAGUUUCCUCAUGUUCUAAUCCUUGGAGACCACCACUUCUUUCAAGCCUUUGCUCACGUGCUGUGCCAUUUAUUAUUGCAAAGUACAUUACUUGCUAAAGUGGACGUUUGCUAUAAAGCAUUCUACAUCUUUGGUGUGAACUACCCCAAGCAGUGUUCCCUGGUGUGGCAGACUGUGGUUUAUGGACAUCCUGGGGAGGAGACACUAGCAGUAAGGGUUCUGAUAGCAUUAAUUUUUGCUGACAAACAGUAAUCAUUAAUACUGUGACCUCACUGCUUCCUUGGAUUCUGUGUUCUUUAACUUGUACUUUGGAU